GAAUAUAUGCACGUGUUUGAACAUCCCUAACAACACACAACAUUCCAGGAAUGUACUACCAAAGUUCUAUCAAUAUUUGAAUGUCCUGGACAUUUAGGGAACAUUCGGUGAACAUCUGAUUAAAUUAUUCGUGGAAUGUUACCAUAAGACAUUCUGUGAACAUACUACCAAUGUUCCUGUUCAUUUUCAAAUUCACGGCGCAUGUAUUUGUGCAUGGUGCUUAGAGAGGGCAUCACGUGACUAAAAACGACCAAUGACCUCACUUCAGACUUCGGUUCGGCCAUCUUGACAUGCAUCUUGCCUUGGCCACCUUGCCGUGCGUGAUCGUUGUUUGUUUUUAUUUGUGCUUUUUAAGAAUAUUUUUUAAUUCGGAUACUUUUAUAAUAACUUUAAUAGUAUUAUUAAUAUAGUGCAUAAAAUCAGUUGGAGUAGCAGAAGCAAUGUAGAUAAAAAAUCUGCAGGAAUAAUGUUUCAAAGCUUUCCAGAAGAUCCUGCGAAGAAGGCAUGAAGUAUUGAUCAGAUUUGUUAAUAGAGCAGUAUGUUCAAAACAUUUUUUAGAAAAAGAUAUUGACAGAACUUCACUUUCAACCGUUUGAGAGACUGUGCUGUUCCAAUAGCUUAUAUCACACAGAAUCAGCUGAGAGAAGUGGUCUACAAAAAACCAGGAAGGAAAUGGAAUAUGUGGCUAUGAAAGGCAAAAGAAAGGUUUACAAAGCAAAUGUGACACAUUUUUUUAUAGGAAUAUCAGUAAAUUACAUUAAAAAAAUGUAUGAAAAGAUUUUUUGCAAUAAAAAUGUUUAUAUUUAUCAAGCAUGCAUUAUUUGGUAUGGCCACAUAUCGUCAGUGAUGUGACAAUACCUCCUAUCUGUUUUUUCAUGAGAUUUGUAAGAUAGACUAAAAACUUGUUUGGGCCACCUCCUGUUUUCAUAUAUUUUUUGACUUGUUUUGCAGUAAAUUUAACUAUCUAUUUACUACAAAACAAGCCAGAACUUACGUAUGCAAACAGGAGGUGACCUUAAAAAAUGUUUUUCGUCUCCUGCAAACCUCAUGAAAAAAGAU
rnacentral:lncRNA from 1 species